GACGAACGCUGGCGGCGUGCUUAACACAUGCAAGUCGAACGGAAAGGCCCUGCUUUUGUGGGGUGCUCGAGUGGCGAACGGGUGAGUAACACGUGAGUAACCUGCCCUUGACUUUGGGAUAACUUCAGGAAACUGGGGCUAAUACCGGAUAGGAGCUCCUGCUGCAUGGUGGGGGUUGGAAAGUUUCGGCGGUUGGGGAUGGACUCGCGGCUUAUCAGCUUGUUGGUGGGGUAGUGGCUUACCAAGGCUUUGACGGGUAGCCGGCCUGAGAGGGUGACCGGCCACAUUGGGACUGAGAUACGGCCCAGACUCCUACGGGAGGCAGCAGUGGGGAAUAUUGCACAAUGGGCGGAAGCCGGAUGCAGCAACGCCGCGUGCGGGAUGAAGGCCUUCGGGUUGUAAACCGCUUUCGCCUGUGACGAAGCGUGAGUGACGGUAAUGGGUAAAGAAGCACCGGCUAACUACGUG
rnacentral:rRNA from 1 species